rnacentral:rRNA from 1 species
UACGUAGGGAGCAAGCGUUGUCCGGAAUCAUUGGGCGUAAAGCGCGCGUAGGCGGCCCCGUAAGUCCGCUGUGAAAGUCAAAGGCUCAACCUUUGAAAGCCGGUGGAUACUGUGGGGCUAGAGUCCGGAAGAGGCGAGUGGAAUUCCUGGUGUAGCGGUGGAAUGCGCAGAUAUCAGGAGGAGCACCAAUAGCGAAGGCAGCUCGCUGGGACGGUACUGACGCUAAGGCGCGAAAGCGUGGGGAGCGAACAGG